rnacentral:rRNA from 1 species
AAUCAACGCUGGCGGCGUGCCUCAGACACGCAAGUCGAACGCGAAAGUCCCCCUCGGGGGACAAGUGGAGUGGCGCACGGGUGAGUAACACGUAGGUAAUCUACCUUCGGGUGGGGAAUAACAAUCGGAAACGGUUGCUAAUACCGCAUAAUGCAGCGGCACCUAAUGGUGACAGUUGUUAAAGCGGGAGAUCGCAAGAUCUCGCGCCUGAAGAGGAGCCUGCGGCGGAUUAGCUAGUUGGUAGGGUAAUGGCCUACCAAGGCGACGAUCCGUAGCCGGCCUGAGAGGGCGGUCGGCCACACUGACACUGACAUACGGGUCAGACUCCUACGGGAGGCAGCAGUCGGGAAUUUUGGGCAAU